GCUGGUUACCUGUGUAUUGCUUCACGCUAUGUGGGCGUGCCCUCUGAGUACUCCAGUUCUUGAGAUCUCAAUGAAACUGAAACACUGCAAUUUCAUAUUCUCCAUGUUCCUAAAUAAUUUCAAUUUGAUUCAACAUUAAGUGACUUGAUAACAGACGUUGAGUCCAGACAAGCCAAAUUGGGCCAUGCAGAACAGCCAGUGAAUUCAGUUAUUCAGAAUUUAAUAUAAGCCAAAUUUAUCAUUUCAGCCACAGGAAAAAAAAACUGAAUCUUCUAGUCAAAGCUUAAGAAGUACAUGUUGUCAUGAGAUGCAUCACACUGCAGAUUAAACUUUUCCUUUUUACAGCUUAAGCUACAGGUUAAAGGUCCAAAACAGUCAAAAUGAAUAUAUCCAGAUUUGUCUUACUAAGGCCUGGAAUUAUUCUUAUAUCAUUACUUGCAUGUUCUUUCAUACUUUGGUUUAUCAAUAUGGAUUGAAAUAAAAUGUGAAUGUGAGCAUGUUGCAUAUCCAGGUUACCACAAAUUAACCUUGUGGAAGUUUAGAGCUCUAUUGUGUUUUACAGGUUACCACAACAUAGUGCUAGAUGCUAAUUAAGCUUGGAGCAGUGCUUAAGAAUACCGAGUUUAUGUAAGUGGAAUAUAGUAGUUACUUCUGCCUUCCUUUAUGUAAUGAGAUGCUCUUAAGUCUUAAUAGAUAUUAUUAAAAAAAAGUCUUAAUAGACAGGAAUAAUGAGAAUUUAUUUCUCAAUACCUGUUAUGAACUUAUGGUCAGAUGAUGGGGUCUUCACAAAUGAAGUAAAUUGAGGUUGUGUAUCCUAGCUAUGUUACGUCAAAUUCACUUUUUUAACUAAUAACAAAGAAAUUAUAUAGUGACAUAUAUGCUAAUUGCUAAAUAACAUGUAACCGACUCCUUUUCGUCAAUGAAAUGUGUGCACAGCUGGUCCUCAGGGGAAAAAAGAAGACAUGGGUUCUUUUUUCCCUUCUGUCGAGUUAUGGUUCCAUGCAUCUUGUCUUAGCGAUCAAGUGAUGUUGUUAAUUUGUGGUGCUGCAGAUACAGAUUACUGUUGUUGCGCAUUUAGUUAGCCAUAAACAGGAACUUGUCUGUCCUUGUGGUUAGUCAGAUAGACACAAAUGUUUGACGCAGGCAAAUCAAUUCCUCAACCAGCUGGUGUUGUUUUCAUAAAAUUGUGCAUUUCUGCAGCGUUGGAAAUGGCCUCUAGGUGAGUGAGCAGGUGCUUGAUAAACUCAUGGUACUCAUCUGAGGAAUUGGUCAAGAGGAGAUUUGGUGAUGAUAGUAGUACUGGUAGUCAGGUAGUGGUAAUGGUGCUCAUCUUUAUUUAGAACAGGUCUGAAAUUAUCUGCACUCAAGAAAAUGUGCACCUGAAAAUGAAAUACUGCAAUUUGCUAUGCUCCAUGCCCUGGAGAAUUUUACUAGUGCACCUGAAAAUGCAGCUCACCAAUAAUGUGGGAAAGCACUGUGGAAACCAGGAAUCCUGAACUGUGUUACAAGUGCUGUGAACUUUGGUCUUCAAAAAUUCUCCAUCCAUCAACACAAGGACAGGAGGAUUAGCUUGCAACAAGGAACAUGACGGCAUUAAGAUUGAUGAUAAAUCCGAAGGGAGAGUCUGACCUAGAAGGUACAGCAAAUGCCAAGGUUCAACUUAGCAUGCAAGCAAAGGUAAAAUAUUUCUUUACAAUUGCAGUAAGACAGAGAUUAAAAGGCUAAUCUCAACCUGGAUCCACGGAGUCGUCCCAAGAAAACCGAAGUGGCGUGCAAGUGUGCAACAGGAACUAAAAGUAUCAGUGUCCACCGACGAAAUGAAAGAAAAGAACCAAUUGCUAUCUUAGGUCUCCUACCCAAGAUGCUGCACAACUUUCUCGUGCUUUCAGUCACGAUCCACUCAGCCUGCCUUUCGGUACUUUUACAGCUAAGCUGAAAACGAAAUGUAGCAAGAUAAACCAUUGGAUUGUGCAAUGAACGAGCUCUGUCAGGUCCGUGCGUCA